rnacentral:tRNA from 1 species
CCGACCUUAGCUCAGUUGGUAGAGCGGAGGACUGUAGUUUGAUUAAUCUAAAAUGGAAAUCCUUAGGUCGCUGGUUCGUAUCCGGCAGGUCGAA